CACGUAGGAGGCAAGCGUUAUUCGGAUUUACUGGGUGUAAAGCGCGUGUAGGCGGUUCGGAAAGUUGGAUGUGAAAGCUCCCGGCUUAACUGGGAGAGGCCGUUCAAAACUUCCGGGCUAGAGAUUGGUAGAGGAAGAUGGAAUUCCGAGUGUAGUGGUGAAAUGCGCAGAUAUUCGGAGGAACACCAGUGGCGAAAGCGAUCUUCUAGACCAAAACUGACGCUCAGACGCGAAAGCUAGGGUAGCAAACGGGAUUAGAGACCCCGGUAGUCCUAGCCGUAAACGAUGUAGACUUGGCGUUGGUGGGUUCAAAUCCAUCAGUGCCGAAGCAAACGCGAUAAGUCUACCACCUGGGGACUACGGCCGCAAGGUUAAA
rnacentral:rRNA from 1 species